rnacentral:rRNA from 1 species
GAUGAACGCUGGCGGCAUGCCUAACACAUGCAAGUCGAGCGGAUAAGCCCUGCUUUCUCCUGGAUUCAGCGGGGGGCGGGUGUGUGAUACCUAUGAGUCUCCCUCCUAUUACUUUGUGACAUCCUCAGACGGCCGCUACUACCACAGACUUCCAGCUCCUGCAGCAGGGUGGUCUUCGGACCUCUCCCGCUCAGGUGGGCCUAGUUCGGAUUAGCUAGUUGGUUGGGUAAAUGCCUACCAAGGCGACCAUCCGUAAAUGGUCUGAGAGGAUGAUCAGUCACACUGGAACUGGGACACGGUCCAGACUCCUAAGGGAGGCAGCAGUGGGGAAUAUUGGACAAUGGGCGAAAGCCUGAUCCAGCCAGGCCGCGUGUGUGAAGAAGGUCUUCGGAUCGUAAAGCACUUUAAGUUGGGAUGAAGGGCAGUAAGUUGAUACCUUGCUGUUUUGACGUUACCAACAGAAGAAGCACCGGCUAACUACGUG